rnacentral:rRNA from 1 species
UACAGAGGUCCCAAGCGUUGUUCGGAUUUACUGGGCGUAAAGGGUGCGCAGGCGGCUUUGCAAGUCAGGCGUGAAAUCCCCGGGCUUAACCUGGGAACUGCACUUGAAACUACGAUGCUGGAGUAUGGCAGAGGGAGGUGGAAUUCCACGUGUAGCGGUGAAAUGCGUAGAGAUGUGGAGGAACACCGAUGGCGAAGGCAGCCUCCUGGGCCAAUACUGACGCUCAGGCACGAAAGCGUGGGGAGCAAACAGG